CAGUCGCCACGGGAAUACGAAGGGGGCUAGCGUUGCUCGGAAUCACUGGGCGUAAAGGGUGCGUAGGCGGGUCUUUAAGUCAGGGGUGAAAUCCUGGAGCUCAACUCCAGAACUGCCUUUGAUACUGAGGAUCUUGAGUCCGGGAGAGGUGAGUGGAACUGCGAGUGUAGAGGUGAAAUUCGUAGAUAUUCGCAAGAACACCAGUGGCGAAGGCGGCUCACUGGCCCGGUACUGACGCUGAGGCACGAAAGCGUGGGGAGCAAACAGGAUUAGAUACCCCCGUAGUCCCUGUCUCUUAUAC
rnacentral:rRNA from 1 species